rnacentral:rRNA from 1 species
UUAGUGGAAGCGUCUGGAAAGGCGCGCGAUACAGGGUGACAGCCCCGUACACAAAAGCGCAUGUGCUGUGAGCUCGAUGAGUAGGGCGGGACACGUGGUAUCCUGUCUGAAUAUGGGGGGACCAUCCUCCAAGGCUAAAUACUCCUGACUGACCGAUAGUGAACCAGUACCGUGAGGGAAAGGCGAAAAGAACCCCGGCGAGGGGAGUGAAAAAGAACCUGAAACCGUGUACGUACAAGCAGUGGGAGCACAGGUUUACCUGUGUGACUGCGUACCUUUUGUAUAAUGGGUCAGCGACUUAUAUUCUGUAGCAAGGUUAACCGAAUAGGGGAGCCGSAGGGAAACCGAGUCUUAAUUGGGCGUUAAGUUGCAGGGUAUAGACCCGAAACCCGGUGAUCUAGCCAUGGGCAGGUUGAAGGUUGGGUAACACUAACUGGAGGACCGAACCGACUAAUGUUGAAAAAUUAGCGGAUGACCUGUGGCUGGGGGUGAAAGGCCAAUCAAACCGGGAG